UACGAAGGGUGCAAACGUUGCUCGGAAUCAUUGGGCGUAAAGCGCACGUAGGCGGCUUCGCAAGUCGGAUGUGAAAUCCCUCGGCUCAACCGAGGACGUGCAUCCGAAACUGCGAAGCUUGAGUACUGAAGAGGAUCGCGGAAUUCCCGGUGUAGAGGUGAAAUUCGUAGAUAUUGGGAAGAACACCGGUGGCGAAGGCGGCUAUCUGGCCCGUAAUUGACGCUGAGGCGCGAAAGCGUGGGGAGCAAACAGG
rnacentral:rRNA from 1 species